rnacentral:ncRNA from 1 species
ACCGCGCCGGGUGCGACAGGUUCCCCGGCGACGGGGAUGAAAAGGGAACGGGAGAACCCCGGCUGCCCCUGCAACUGUAAGCGGCGAGCCAUCGCGCCACAGGCCAUUGGGAUCGCAAGAUCCCGAGAAGGCGGCGCGAACCGGCACUGACCCGCGAGCCAGGAGACCUGCCCGUCGCGGUCGUCCUUC